AGUGAACGCUGGCGGUAGGCCUAACACAUGCAAGUCGAACGGCAGCACAGUAAGAGCUUGCUCUUACGGGUGGCGAGUGGCGGACGGGUGAGGAAUACAUCGGAAUCUACUUUUUCGUGGGGGACAACGUAGGGAAACUUACGCUAAUACCGCAUAUGUCCUACGGGUGAAAGCAGGGGAUCUUCGGACCUUGCGCGAUUCAAUGAGCCGAUGUCGGAUUAGCUAGUUGGCGGGGUAAAGGCCCACCAAGGCGACGAUCCGUUGCUGGUCUGAGGGGAUGAUCGGCCACACUGGAACUGAGACACGGUCCAGACUCCUACGGGAGGCAGCAGUGGGGAAUAUUGGACAAUGGGCGAAAGCCUGAUCCAGCCAUACCGCGUGGGUGAAGAAGGCCUUCGGAUUGUAAAGCCCUUUUGUUGGGAAAGAAAAGCAGCAGGUUUAAACCGCGCUGUAUUGACGGUACCCAAAGAGUAAGCACCGGCUAACUUCGUG
rnacentral:rRNA from 1 species